AGCGUAAAAAAGCCCUUUCCUAUCACCACCAUAGUACAACUUUAAGUGAUCAACCGAAAUGUAAAGAAGCAAACGUAAUUGAACACCACUGCAACAAUGUCAUCUUGCAAGCAUCCAUUUGGAAGAAGUUACGUUUCACAUAAACUAACCAAUUUUCUUCUCACUGCCGAAAGGCCGAUGAAUUAGAACUGCAUGUCCUUCCCCUUCAAACAACCUUGUCCACAAGGUUGAAUUGUGAAGGGAAUCAUAAGUAUCCCUGCAUCCCAAUUCCCACUAAAUACCCAAAUUCUAAAGUCGUAGCCUCAGUAAUACAAACCCCAGAACAAUUGCUACAAUGAAAACAAACCAAAUUUUCGUUGCCUCUUUUGUUGGACUAUCCAAAGGAGACCAAACUCCACAAAUGUCAAGCCCAAAAUAUUUAUCAUCUGUGGCAAAAACAAGGCCAAUCACCAAGCACAGAUCUAUAGCUAUGAAAUCAAAUCAAUUGUUCAUUCCAAAUUUCCAGGCAACCCCCUCUGCUAAUGUCUUUGAAAGCAUAGACCCAGCUUUGAUAUCUAACAAACAGCUUUACUAUGGGUUGUAAAUUCUACAACCCCCGCCGUGAGUCCCGCUCCCCCAUCCCGCUUGAGCUGGCAUGCCCACGUGGAAAUAUUUUAAUAAUUUAAAAAAAAUUCAGAAAAACCCAAAAUGAAAAUCAUCCCGCAUCUUCCUUCCAUUUUGGAAACAUCGAGAAUGAAGCUCUUCUGCUCCGAAAUCCCUCUCUACACCAUUUCUUCCCUGCUGCGUCCUCCUCCAUCGCCUUCUCUGGCACCGACCACUAGUCUGCGCGGCAAACUUAGCCCCUCAUCCCCCUCGAUAGCCCCUCCCUAAAGCUCAUCUGCUUUGAAAUCCCUCUCUGCUCCAUUUUUUCCCUGAUGCAUCCUCCUCUGUUGCCUCCUCCAGCACCGACCACGAGUCUGCGCGGCAAACUCAACCCCUCAUCCCCCUCGACAGCCCUCCCCCAAGCUUCCAUCGCAGCCCCUCAAAGAAAUCUGAGACCCAACCUCGACUUGACAUCCCUUUCUUUUUGUUCUUCUUCUUCUCUACCAUUCAGUUUUCUUUCUUUUUCUCGAAAAGAUUCUUCUUUUUUCUUUUUUUGUUCUAGGCGAACCUCAGCCCUUGAUCCUUCCUUUUCUGGCUCAAAAAAAUUUGUAGUUUAUUCGGCAUUUGUUCUUCUCUCCCAAAGAAAAAAAAAAAAAAAACCAUUUAUGUCGCAGCACACAUCAAAGAAAUCGGAGUCCCAACUUCGAAUCUUCCUUUUUUGGCUCAAAGCUCUUUUUUUUUUAAUCACUCGGCUUUUGUUCUUCUCUUCCAAAAAAUCUCCACUUCGUAGCAGAAUCGGGUACUUCUCUCCCGAAAAAAAACCCUAACUCCACUCUCCACUUUGUAGCAUUUUCCCCUGCAUUAGGCGAACCUCAGCAUUGAAUCUUCCAUCCCAACUCAAAAAAAAAGUUUGAAUCAAUUUUCAUUCUUCCAAAAUGCUUGCAUAUUGAUUGGUCUUAAUAAAUCCAUCUGCACCAUUUUCUAGAACUAGAUUUUAAGUUAUAGGUAAUUGAGUUAUGCUUUUAUUAUUGGAUGUUUUUUCAUUAUAAGUAUGGAUGCUUUUAUUACUGCAUUUUAUAUUGUGUAUAUAUGCUUUUUUUCUUUUGCACAUAUUCUAUAUUUUGUUUAGACUAUAGUUGAUUUGUGUUUUCAUUUGUAUAUAUCAGUGUUCCAAAUUAUUGAUAGCUCAUAUUUGUUCAAGUUAUUUCUGUAAUGCGGUUACUUCAAGUUUUCAAGAAAUGAGAUGCUUGUACCUUAAUGUGUUUUGAGCUCUGGUUAUAUAGUUUGUAGUUUAUUUGACAUAUCAAGAAGUUGCAAAGAGAGAAUAGGCUAGAUGACAUUGUUGGGUUUAUUGCUGUCUCCUUGAGUGAGGGAAGUGAGUGUUGUGCAUUUGUUGAUAAAGUGGAAUUGAGUGUUUAAUUGUCAUUUGUAAUAGAAACUUGUUUAAUUAUGAUGAAUAAGUGCCACUGUUCAUGAAAGGUUGGAAGAGUCGGUAUUCGAUCCACGCAUCUUCAAUAAUGAAGUUUGGUUACGAAGCUGAGCGUGGCUAUGAUUAAUACAUUAACAGGUAAUGCAUACAGAUAGGUUGUUCAGAAAUAGCUAGCAACUAUUCGACAUUUCAUAGUCUAGAAAUAAAAGCACUUAAUAUUGACACAAUGUCUGAAGCACCAAGUAGCAAUAGCAAUAUCUCACACUCAAGAAACUCUUGCCAAAAUGAAUACCCAAUAUGCUUUUGUAGUAUUAAAGCAUGUCGACGAACCGCACAUACGAAGGAUAAUGAGAGGUACUGAUUUUUCAGUUGCCAAAACUUUAAAGUGUUAAAUAGGCGUAGUUGUUUUGAGUUGAUGGAGAAGUAUGCAAGUUGGCAGGCACCCCCAAAAACUAGAUGGUGGGAAAGGAGAGGGCGGCUCAUACCGUGACAUGAGUCUCGUCUACCCCCACAAAUUAUAAAUUUGGAUUGUGGUCCUUUUUAGACAUUGAAACAAACCAAUUUCUUUAUUUUUGUGUUAAAUAUUAUGGAAAGUAAUUUUAUUAAUUAUUCUUAAAUGAGUAUAAAUAUUCAUGGUGGAUACGACAAAUGAAUCAACCUAACUCUUUAUGGUAUACAUCUUAUAUUUUAUUUUACACACACAAUAUCUACUGGAGUUCGUCUCUUGAAAAUGAAUUUUUCUUUUUUGGCUAAUGACGACCACAUUGUUUGUAUCUCUGUAAGUGCCUGCAAGCUAGAAGUCAAUUCAGAAUAGACUGUUAUUGCACAAAUUUUGAACGUUCUAAACUUUCAUUCAAAAAAUGGUAUUUCAUUACAAAAUUAAUAAAGAGGAACCAUUGGUCCCUCCCAAUAUAUACAAAAUAUAUCAUUGGUCUCUCUCAAAAUAUACAAAUAUAUCAUUUGGUCCCAAAAUAUACAAAAUACACCAUUAGUCCCUCCAAAAAUAUACAAAAUAUAGAAAAGCAACCAGCUAUCUUCCAGAAGCAUGGCGUCUUUCGAUCACGAUAUCUACAUCAUAUAUGAUUAAUUUCUCGGAUAAUUAUCCUGGUCCAAGACAUGCAAUCAUCUCCAUUGCUCCUAAAUGAACAAAAAGUCACUACAAUCAACAGGGAAAUCCUAAAAAACUAACGUAGUAUAUUUCACGGAAGAGAUUACCUGAUCAGUUGUGUUCUAAGGGGGCAUAAAAAAAAUGUUAAAAGUGGCAACACACUUAAAAAAUCAUACAUAAAUAGUACAAUCCGUAGUGUGAAUUACCUGUGAGGGAUGAGCAGUCUGUCCAAUAUCAAAAAAAUCCGUAGUGUAUAUUUGAUGAGGCGUGUACUGUGAGUGGCAUAAAAUUAUUAAAUAAAUUGUGUUAACAAUUUUCGCAUGAUAAUGUUUUUUGAAUUACCUGUGAGAAAGGAGCAGUCUGUCCAAUGCCAAAAUAAUCUAUAGCAAUUAAAGGAGUAGCAAAAAAGUCUGGCGCAUGUGUCCAAACUUAACUUUGUUGAUCCUUGGUUUGAGGAGCCUCAUGCUGUGUGCCAUUGAUAGUACAUUCAUCUGGAGUGUGACUACUCCGUUGUUCAUUGGAAUGAAGAUAAUAAUUUAUCAUUAUAAGAAAUAUAAUAUUUUAUAUACAAUAUUAAUAAAAAAGAACCUCGGCUGAGUCAUGGUGUAAUCGUCUUCUCGUACUAGAUUUCUUAAGACUCUUCUUAACAAGAUGCACUUUUCUCUUAGACGGUGGGCUACUCUUACUCUGAACUACCAAUGGACUAAUAACUCUACCUGUCUUGCCCCAUGGAAGUAGCUGGAUCAACUGUUGUGUCCUCCAUGGAAGUAGUUGAAUCAGGGAUACCAGGGUAUUGUACCUUCAAUUGUUCUAUCUGGCUAAUCAAUUUCACACAACUGCUCUCGGCCUUUGACGCAUUGGAACACAAUUCAUAGAAGCAAUUCUGGAUCCUAUCAUACCUUUGGGCAUCAUCGAUACUAUUAGUGUCAUAACUACUUUUCACGAAGGUGUAUUUUCGCUUUACAUCCUUCAUCCAUUGAUCUAAAAUGUAUUUUGAUGGUAUUGUAUGCUUGCCUAGCUGAGUUACGAUACGAAGAGCGUGCCUACAUAAUAUGCCCUAAACUCAAACAACUUACAACUGCAUUUAAUACCAAGGGGAUCUUGAUUAACUUUGACAGUGAAGGUUGCCCAUUUUAACAAAUCAUCACCAACUUGAACCUCAUCGGCAACUACGAACGUAGUUCUACCACACUCACAUCCCAAUAAUGAGGUAAUCAAAUAUAGAAAUCAUUGCAAUUCCUCUUGUGCUUCUUUGAAUUUAGCAAUUGUAUAUUCUUUUUUAAAUUGUUUCUCAAGAGAAUAGUGGUUGAUGCAAGGAAUUUCGGUGUUAAAUGA